UGUUUCAUAGAAUAUUUUAUUCAAACCAACACAGUCCCUUGUGAAAAUCUCACAGAUGAGCCAGGCCAUCAACUGUGGCUCUCUAAAUAAACCUUUCAUUUUAUUUUAAUUAGAUAUUUUUAUAUGAACCCAAAUAUAGAGAUCCCCAAAAAUGGAAGUAAGGGAAGUCUAUAUGAAAGGGCCUAUUUGGUCCAUACCACAGAGGGCCUCCCAACCUACAGCUUUACUUCUGAUCUGUGUCUGCCUGUGGCCCCAUCUUGCCUCUCCACCCUACAAAUGGUUUUCUUUUAAAAAUAUCCAUUUCUACUACCACUAACAUUUACAAAGUUCUGAGACAAGCCCUGAUAUGGUCACUGUAACUUCUCGAACACCAGCAGUCAUUCUAAACAUCUCCAUUACCCUGACUACACCUUCAUCUGCCCACCUUCCCCUCUCCUCCAAUCCAUCUGAUGACCAUUUCUUCCCUCUUUAAGCUCUUCCUGUACUCAUCUUAAUUCCUGUUUCAUCACUCCUAUCUCUGUAUCAUUGUAGCAACUUUCUAAAUGUCAGAAGAAAAUGCAACUUUAAGAAAAUAUGGUUACAUAUCCACAUUACAACGUGUCCAACCCAAACGCAUUACAUUCUUUUAAUACAAGAUGUAGUACCCCACUAACCAGGCCUUUAAAGAAAAGAAAAAAAAAAUCAUUCUUCUACUAAAAAACAAUAUUAGAGCAUGUUACUCAAUGAGCUUUACUCAUGAGCAGUGCCAAAAGAAUAAGUAGGGGACGACGACCACAAUUAGAAAGCAAUGUCUUUUGUUUGUGUCACUCUUAAAGGCAAAAGGGAAUAUGUGGAAAGAGGAGAGAGAAGGGGAGAAACAGCCGCUCCAAACUGUUCCUGUCACAUGCAUGUGCUCACCCUUCCUUAAUGGUGGAGGGGAUUCAUUAUCCCUAUCAAGAGGGAAUGAACAAACAUUUAGUCCUGAUAAGAUUUCUCUGCUAUUCGUCAAAUUCUUGAAAAGAUAUCAACUACAGACAGUCUCCGUCAUGGGAAGUUUGAGAAGGGGAUUUAACCACGUGCUAAAACGUCUAUCAAAGCCAGUCACGAUUCCGCACCAACAGACGCUAACCCCAAUUAGCCUCUUUCAAUCGGAGGGAUUAUCUUUCAUGUACAAAUUAAUGCACAUCUUGAUUUUUUUUAAGCUAUGGUGCCUUAUUUGUUUUGUGGAAACAUGAAAGUCAUUUUGAUAUUCAGACCAGAAAGAGUAAUUCUAAUUAAGCAAAUCCCAUCAUGUUACAAUCUUAUCUGGGAAACAGCAAUAGCUGGUGGUGCACCAACAAUUGUGGUAACAAUUGAGGUCACCAGAGACUUAUCAGCCCGCGGUGAGACAUCAUAAUUUUCUAGGCUCUGUAAGGAUGCAUGUAUACUGCUGAUAAUUCUAUGCUCAUGGCAUAGCUGCCUUCACACUAGGUGCUACGGAGAGUAUGAUUCCAGGCAGCUGCCACCCCUGAACUUGUUCUCUAGCAAUCCACCGGAGAUAGAAAGUGGACAGAGGGAAGUAGAGGAACCAAUGAAUCCAAGAAGCUGAGUGCAAAUAAAACACACAAAUAAGAGGCAAAACAUUCAAAAGGAAAUAUGGGGACCAAACCGAGGUGACUUUCACUCCAAACGUUUGUGCCCAGAGGACCGCUUAGGAGUCUUUAGUAAUCAACAGAAUAGCUGUUCUGAGGUCUGCAGUGCUAUUCACAGGCCCGGGUCAAAUUCAGCAAUUCGGUUGUCAAAGAGACGACAAGCCACCAACACAAGGCAGCUGCUGAAGAGCUGGAUGGACAUGGAUGGAGUUCAGUAUCCACUUCCAUUUUGCCUGGAGCAUUUACACCCCUCCUAACCAUUCACACAAAUCCCAAGAAGGAGGGAUUUGGUGAAGGCCCCGUGAUGAGCCAUGAUGGAGGCAGCCUUCCCUGGACAUUCCAGCUGUGCUAUGGUUUGAAUGUAGCCCGUCACUGCCAAAAGUCACAUGAGGAUUUUGUUUCCAGUGUUAGAGCCGAGACACGAUGAAGUUCUAGAGAGGGAGUAAGCUCCCUUCCCUGCUAACUUGAUUGGUUACUGUGAGAGGACUCUGCUGUACAGGGCUCCUGGUGCGUUAGCAUGCUGUCUCAAAACUCAACAUGAAAUAAGCGGGCAAGAUGAAAGACACGACCGAGAGAGAACUGUUCCCUUCGCCAUCGGCCACCUCUGAGAGGCUCUCCCUGUGCGCUGUGCAGCCAUCUCCGUCUUAGUAUCUGUCCCAGCUCUUCAGCUUUCCGCUGUGAACGGAAGUACCCUGAGACCCUCGCCAAGAGUCAGGAGAUCAUCUAUGAGCUAAACAAAGGUCUUUCCUUUUCAAGCCCUGUACCAGGCAGUGCGUUGGGUAGUCAUGACAGAGUGAGGCAGCCUAAAAGGUGCAGAAAGCAGCCUUUCCUGGUACAAUGCAUGCUACCAAACCAAAAGGAGACACACAGAAGGGAAAUUUUAUACGAUGAAUAUCCAAAAUGCUACGAGAAGACCAGGACUCCCGUGGAAAACUGAAAAGGAAAAUGAAUGGUGGGUGUAGCACGUUGGGCUUUGUGGUCUCCUCUGGCUGGACAGAUGGGACAGGGAAGUAAGAGCUGGAUGCUGGCUGUAUAAGAGGCUUCUGUGGUCAGACAUGAGAUCAACACAGUCUAGACAAAGACAUUCAAGGAGUGUGGCUCGGGAAGGGGCAGUCUGCGUUUGCUCUCAUUGGAAUAUGCUGUCAUGUCUUUGGUGAAAGGAAGACAGUGGGGCCGGAUCUACUGACAAGCACUGGAGCUACGAAGGCUCUCCCAGGUCCCUUUGGCAUCCUCAGCAGCGUUCUAAGGAAACCAUGUUCACCCUUCGUUACACACAGGCAUGAAAAUGGAACUUAAGUCACUCCCAGUGGCUUCUAGAGAGGACUGGGCAAGGCAUGAAUCACUCUGCGUUUACAUGCCAACAUCACCGGGAGACAGUAACUAGCAACAGAAUGCCUGGAUUCUCAAUCCUCGCUUCCCAUGGCUCCUCCUCUGCAUCCAGAUAUCAGGCAUCGAGACAGACUCUACAAAACCAGAACGUGGAUCAGAACACACCUGUACCUGAUCACUUAGGAAGAGACGUCCACGCGGAGGAGACUGCUCUGCCGACAGUGCGUCCACCAGACAGAAAACAGCUGUCCUUGGUCUGCCCUACAUCAUGCUACGCUGACACGGGAAGACACCAAGGCUCUUGUAGAGUAAGAGCAAUCAAGGUCUAUAUUUAGCGAGGGAAACAAUAAAAAACACGAUGUGACUCUGGUGUCCUAUUGUUUCUGGGUCAAAAAGUGGAGAGUAGCAAUUGCGGGUAGAAUUCCUUCAAAGUCAAUUUGCUAGAGAAGGAAGGAAGAGCUUUUAUCUAACUGAAACGUCCUUUAUUUAUCUCCUGGAGUCUUCCUCAGCCAUUAUACCUGAGCUGGAACACACACCCCGUUUUGUAUGAAGACAACACUGUGCUCCAAUUACAUACCUUGCAGCUUGAGUUAUGAGGGAUUAUGUGCGUGACCCUGGUUUGUAAAUUACACAGCUGUGCAGGCUCCUGUCUUUACUGAGCUGACUGUAUUUCCUGUUCCUUAUGAGGCACACGACUAAUCUCCAGUGGGGGAAAAAAUCACGUUGGCUCAGCCGACUCCUGCCACACACCUGUGUAGGCUUCACACUCAGAUGAGAGCUCCUCCAGCUGCCUUUUCCCAGCUCUUGAUAAGCACUUCAGAAGAGAGGCUGGCCCUUUCUUCACCUAGACUUUUAUGGCUAGAAGUUCCUCCAUCCCAACUCUGAACAAAUGUUUCUAACCUUCUAGUACUUACCAUCUG